GUUGUAGCUCAGUGGUAGAGCACUUGCCUAGCAUGUGUGAGGCCCUAGGUUUGAUCUCUAGCAAC
rnacentral:tRNA from 1 species